GCUUCCAUAGCUCAGCAGGUAGAGCACUUCCAUGGUAAGGAAGAGGUCGCCGGUUCAAGCCCGGCUGGAAGCU
rnacentral:tRNA from 1 species